rnacentral:rRNA from 1 species
AUUGAACGCUGGCGGCAGGCCUAACACAUGCAAGUCGAACGAGUGGCGGACGGGUGAGUAAUGUCUGGGAAACUGCCCGAUGGAGGGGGAUAAAUACUGGAAACGGUAGCUAAUACCGCAUACCAGCGGAUGUGGCGAGAUGGGAUUUGCUAGUAGGUGGGGUAACGGCUCACCUAGGCGACGAUCCCUUGCCGGUCUGAGAGGAGGACCAGCCACACUGGAACUGAGACACGGUCCAGACUCCUACGGGAGGCAGCAGUGGGGAAUAUUGCACAAUGGGCGCAAGCCUGAUGCAGCCAGGCCGCGUGUAUGAAGAAGGCCUUCGGGUUGUAAAGUACUUUCAGCGAGGAGGCGUUACUCGCAGAAGAAGCACCGGCUAACUCCGUGCCAGCAGCCGCGGUAAUAC